CUUUUGGAAACAUUAGCUACGCCCGUUUUCAAGAAGAUAAAACUUAUAACUACAGAAGACCUACAGAGCUUGAAAAUGAGAAAGACAAAGUAUCUCUACCAACGAUGAAAAAUAUUUGGUUUAAUGAUUCAGGUUUUAUGAAUUAUCAGGUCUGGCAAGAAGAUAAAACUAAAACCUACAGAAAACCUAGAGAGCUUGAAAAUAAUUAAAACAGAAAGUAUCUCUACCUUCGAUGGAAAAUAUUUGGUUUAAUGAUUCAGGUUUUAUGAAUUAUCAGGUCUGGCAAGAAGAUAAAACUAAAACCUACAGAAAACCUAGAGAGCUUGAAAAUAAUUAAAACAGAAAGUAUCUCUACCUUCGAUGAAAAAUAUUUGGUUUAAUGAUUCAGGUUUUAUGAAUUAUCAGGUCUGGCAAGUUUCCAAACCCAUUAUAAAUCAAAGCUUCCAUAUUAGAAGUAAAAGAAAUUAUACACACGUCUCGUUCUCUUUAAGUGGAGCAGCGUGUGGUGGGCUUUUUUGGUGAUAUUUUUUUCCCCAUGAACCAUUCCCUCGCUGAAGAAAAAGGAAAUAAGGUUGAUAAAACAGUUCCCUCUAUUUAGACUUAAGACUUGGGCCACGUUUCCCGCGGGGCUGGUCGACUCAGCUCAUUUAACAAGCCCCGCUGUUCCCUAUCCACAAAUAAGGGUAUUAUUGUUUUCCUCAUCGUUUCCUUCCUCCCUCACCCCCUUGAGAGACGUUCCCUUGAGAUACUGCGUUUGCCGGCUUAUAAAACGACCCAGAAACAGAGGAACAGAAGAAAACAACCCAACUCUCAGGCAACAAUACAAUCUACAGGUUUUCCUUCCCGAGACAGACUUUCCCCUUGAGAUACUAUUUGUCGAUGUAUAAGACGCACCGAACACAACAAAAAUAGCCCAGGAGUCAGGUAACAAUAUUAAUCUAAACGUGCUCUCCCUCAAUAUGGACUUUCCUUUGAGAUAUUACAUUUGCCGGUGUACUAACCGCCCCAAAAUCAACAUAAAUAGCCUAUUAGUCGAGGUAACAAUAUAUCUAAACGUGCUCCCUCCCAAAAUGGACGUUCCCCCAAAUCAACAAAAAAUAGCCUAUUAGUCGAGGUAACAAUAUAAAUCUAAACGUGCUCCCUCCCAAAAUGGACGUUCCCCCAAAUCAACAAAAAUAGCCUAUUAGUCGAGGUAACAAUAUAUAUCUAAACGUGUUCCCUCCCAAUAUGGACGUUCCCUUGAGAUACUGCAAUUCCCAGUGUAUAAGACGCACCAAACACAAUAAAAAUAGCCCAGGAGUCAGGUAACA